AACGAACGCUGGCGGCAUGCCUAACACAUGCAAGUCGAACGAAGGCUUCGGCCUUAGUGGCGCACGGGUGCGUAACGCGUGGGAAUCUGCCCUUUGGUUCGGAAUAACAGCUGGAAACGGCAGCUAAUACCGGAUGAUGACGAAAGUCCAAAGAUUUAUCGCCAGAGGAUGAGCCCGCGUUGGAUUAGGUAGUUGGUGGGGUAAAGGCCUACCAAGCCGACGAUCCAUAGCUGGUCUGAGAGGAUGAUCAGCCACACUGGGACUGAGACACGGCCCAGACUCCUACGGGAGGCAGCAGUGGGGAAUAUUGGACAAUGGGCGAAAGCCUGAUCCAGCAAUGCCGCGUGAGUGAUGAAGGCCCUAGGGUUGUAAAGCUCUUUUACCCGGGAAGAUAAUGACUGUACCGGAGAAUAAGCCCCGGCUAACUCCGUG
rnacentral:rRNA from 1 species